rnacentral:rRNA from 1 species
CGGCUUAACACAUGCAAGUCGAGGGGCAGCAUUUCAGUUUGCUUGCAAACUGGAGAUGGCGACCGGCGCACGGGUGAGUAACACGUAUCCAACCUGCCGAUAACUCGGGGAUAGCCUUUCGAAAGAAAGAUUAAUACCCGAUGGUAUAAUCAGACCGCAUGGUCUUGUUAUUAAAGAAUUUCGGUUAUCGAUGGGGAUGCGUUCCAUUAGGCAGUUGGUGAGGUAACGGCUCACCAAACCUUCGAUGGAUAGGGGUUCUGAGAGGAAGGUCCCCCACAUUGGAACUGAGACACGGUCCAAACUCCUACGGGAGGCAGCAGUGAGGAAUAUUGGUCAAUGGGCGCAGGCCUGAACCAGCCAAGUAGCGUGAAGGAUGACUGCCCUAUGGGUUGUAAACUUCUUUUAUAUGGGAAUAAAGUUUUCCACGUGUGGAAUUUUGUAUGUACCAUAUGAAUAAGGAUCGGCUAACUCCGUGCCAGCAGCCGCGGUAAUACGGAGGAUCCGAGCGUUAUCCGGAUUUAUUGGGUUUAAAGGGAGCGUAGGUGGACAGUUAAGUCAGUUGUGAAAGUUUGCGGCUCAACCGUAAAAUUGCAGUUGAUACUGGCUGUCUUGAGUACAGUAGAGGUGGGCGGAAUUCGUGGUGUAGCGGUGAAAUGCUUAGAUAUCACGAAGAACUCCGAUUGCGAAGGCAGCUCACUGGACUGCAACUGACACUGAUGCUCGAAAGUGUGGGUAUCAAACAGGAUUAGAUACCCUGGUAGUCCACACAGUAAACGAUGAAUACUCGCUGUUUGCGAUAUACAGUAAGCGGCCAAGCGAAAGCAUUAAGUAUUCCACCUGGGGAGUACGCCGGCAACGGUGAAACUCAAAGGAAUUGACGGGGGCCCGCACAAGCGGAGGAACAUGUGGUUUAAUUCGAUGAUACGCGAGGAACCUUACCCGGGCUUAAAUUGCAUUUGAAUAUAUUGGAAACAGUAUAGCCGUAAGGCAAAUGUGAAGGUGCUGCAUGGUUGUCGUCAGCUCGUGCCGUGAGGUGUCGGCUUAAGUGCCAUAACGAGCGCAACCCUUAUCUUUAGUUACUAACAGGUCAUGCUGAGGACUCUAGAGAGACUGCCGUCGUAAGAUGUGAGGAAGGUGGGGAUGACGUCAAAUCAGCACGGCCCUUACGUCCGGGGCUACACACGUGUUACAAUGGGGGGUACAGAAGGCAGCUACCUGGUGACAGGAUGCUAAUCCCAAAAGCCUCUCUCAGUUCGGAUCGAAGUCUGCAACCCGACUUCGUGAAGCUGGAUUCGCUAGUAGUCGCGCAUCAGCCAUGGCGCGGUGAAUACGUUCCCGGGCCUUGUACACACCGCCCGUCAAGCCAUGAAAGCCGGGGGUACCUGAAGUACGUAACCGCAAGGAGCGUCCUAGGGUAAAACUGGUAAUUGGGG